rnacentral:lncRNA from 1 species
AUGCCCGCGCCCCGGCGCGAUGCUCAGAGGCGGCCACCCGCCCGGGUGGGCGUCCGGCGACACGCUGACUUGCAGCAGGUCCGUCCACUUGAUCGCGUCCGGAGCCUCCGCUCCGCCGCUCCUCAACCUCCGCGGUUUCCGAGCAGCGGCGCCGGGUGUAGCAGCGGCAGCGGCGAGACUCAGCCGGGGCCGCGAGGGCGACGGUGUCCCGAACACCUCAGCGCCCGCGCCGCCGCGCGCUCUGUCAGGAGCGGAACUUCCUCCUCUGCCGAGCGGCCGCCCCCGCCCGGCUCCUCCUCCUCCUCCUCCUCCUCCUCCCUCCUCCUCCUCCUCCUCCUCCUCCUUCUCAGCGAGCCCCGCCGCCCGCUUCCCGGCCGAGCCCAGCCGCGGGAGCCGAGCCCCCGCGCCUCGGCGGCGUGCGAGGUAACCGGGCCGCGGCCCUCGGACCGACCACCGGGGGGCCGGCGCCGGCUCAUUCCUCGCACCGCCUGGGAGAGGCGGGCGGCGGGAGCGCGGGGCGAGCAGCCGCGCCUCGGGCGGGCGCAGGGCGGCUCCGACUGGCCCGGCCUCGGUGGCUCGCACGCUCUCGCCGGCGGGCAGCAGCAGCAGCGGCGGAGCGGACCGCGGCCCGGGGCUGGUCCCCGGCCUCUGGAAGCCGCGGAGGCACCGGCUGGCGCGAGCGGAGCUGCUGCGGGGGCGCGGGCCGGCCUGCCGCCCCGACUCGCGAGUGGGCGUCCCGGGCGGCGGAGUGUGAGGUGCGCGCGCACGCUCCCGGCCGCCGCGCCCCUCCCCCGCCGGCCGGGCCGCUCGGGCCUGGCCGCUGCCGGGAGCUCCGAGCCCCCGGAAACCUCCGCGGCCAGACGAGCGGGACCGAGCGCCCGGGUCUGGGAAGUGGCCCUGGGAUCUGGGAUUACCGGAACUGACGGAUUCCGGGGGCCAAGGCUGGCGCCUGCCUCGCUAACACACACUCGGGCCCGGGGUUUAACUGCAGAGUCUCAAACUUCCACGCGUUCUUGGGCACGCGAGGCUGGAUGA